GAAAUGCGAUAAGUAAUGUGAAUUGCAGAAUUCCGUGAAUCAUCGAAUCUUUGAACGCACAUUGCGCCCUUUGGUAUUCCAAAGGGCAUGCCUGUUCGAGCGUCAUUUGUACCCUCAAGCUUUGCUUGGUGUUGGGCGUCUUGUCUCUAGCUUUGCUGGAGACUCGCCUUAAAGUAAUUGGCAGCCGGCCUACUGGUUUCGGAGCGCAGCACAAGUCGCACUCUCUAUCAGCCAAGGUCUAGCAUCCAUUAAGCCUUUUUUCAACUUUUGACCUCGGAUCAGGUAGGGAUACCCGCUGAACUUAAGC
rnacentral:misc_RNA from 1 species